rnacentral:rRNA from 1 species
UACGGAGGGUGCGAGCGUUGUCCGGAAUCAUUGGGCGUAAAGGGCGCGUAGGUGGCGGGAUAAGCGUGCGGUGAAAGCUCGGGGCUCAACCCCGAGUCGGCCGUGCGAACUAUUUGCUUGAGCACUGUAGAGGCAGGCGGAAUUCCGGGUGUAGCGGUGGAAUGCGUAGAGAUCCGGAAGAACACCGGUGGCGAAGGCGGCCUGCUGGCAGU